rnacentral:lncRNA from 1 species
GCUUAGGCCAUGGAUAGCCACUGGUCGUUUUCUCCUGAGGAAGUGGGCAUGCCAUCGUGACGAGUGUAUUUUACUCACGACUUUAACUCAAUUUUAACUUGACUGUAAGCUAGAUUUUGCGAGUAUUGAACGGUUUUAAUAUAUUUGUUAAUGUUGUUUUAUAGGAUUGUUGAAAGAGACGAAAAAGUUCAUCAAAUAAAGUUAUUGGCAUGGAUCGAAAAAAAAUUGUAGAUAAAAGGACAAAAGAUGCAAAGUAAAAUGAAUGGACAAGCGGCUCACCGGCCCGAAAUAGUGGCGCCAAGGCGUCAUGAAAGGAAGAUAGUUAGAGUUGAGAGACCAUGGAAAACCAGAGAGGGGGCACAUUUUUGGCUCAUUUGAAAUUCAUGAAAAAAACCCUAUUCUCUAGACCAUACAAGAAUGCACCUAUAAAUAUAAUUUUCUCACACUUUUGGGGGAUUUCACAGAUUGAGAAGCAAAAAACACACUUUGAGAUUUAAGAGAAGUAAUUCAAGGGAGGAAAACAACAAACAAUUCAACGUUUGGAGUAUUAAUUGGAAGAUGAAGAAGAUCUUGAUGCAAGAUUGAUAUUUUUUCUUCUACAUCUUUACUACAAAUUCAAUAAUGCACUCAAUGACUAUUUAUUAUUUUUUCUCUUUCAUUAUGAGUAGUUAAAUAUCUUGUUAGGGCGAAUAAUGUAAUCCAAUUGGGACCCUUUAUGUCUUUUAAUUAAAAUUCAUGUUCUUUAUUUUUUUCCAUGUGUUUAUUUUACUAUGAGCUUAAUACAUUAAAUUACUUGAUCACUAAUUCGAUGAUUUCGUGAAUCCUUUACGAAUCGAGAGGUGAGUUUAGGAUUUAAACCAUAUAGUAAAAUCCAGUAAAUUGGUAUAACGUAUAGAGAUACUUAUACUAAUUAUUGCGUUCAUAAUUGAAUUCCUACAACAAAGAACUCGUUUAACUAUGCUUGAUUCGCAUAGAAAUAUGGAAUUGAAUUAGUUAAAUAGACUCAAUGAGAAUUUGGAUAAAUUGAAUACAAUAGGAGAAUUCUAUCAAACACUACUUUAGAUUUUAUGAAUCUUGAUUUAAGAUGUAAA